rnacentral:rRNA from 1 species
AUUGCCUUAGUUAACGGCGAGUGAACAGGCAAGAGCUCAGAUUUGAAAGGCACUUUUGUGCCGUUGUAUUAGAAGAGAGGGUCCUGAGAAACGAUGCUUAAGUCUUCUGGAAAGGAGCGCCAUGGAGGGUGAUAGCCCCGUCUAGCAUUGACCUCAUAUAGGAUCUUAACAUGGAGUCGAGUUGUUUGGGAAUGCAGCUCAAAUGGGUGGUAUGCUCCAUCUAAAGCUAAAUAUCUGCGAGAGACCGAUAGUAAACAAGUACUGUGAGGGAAAGAUGAAAAGAACUUUGAAAAGAGAGUGAAAAAGUACGUGAAAUUGUUGAAAUGGAAGGGUAGGCCGCUAACCAUGUAGAGCCGUGUUUGGGGGGAAGAUAAAUGCUGUAGAAUGUAGCUCCUCGGAGUAUUAUAGAUGCAGUUCAUAUUCCCACCCGAGCGCGAGGAUCUCAGGUUCUACUAAAUGGUGGUCUACCACCCGUCUUGAAACACGGACCA